rnacentral:rRNA from 1 species
CCUACGGGCGGCAGCAGUGGGGGAUAUUGCACAAUGGGGGGAACCCUGAUGCAGCGACGCCGCGUGGGUGAAGAAGGGCCUCGGCGCGUAAAGCCCUGUCAGCAGGGAAGAAAAUGACGGUACCUGAAGAAGAAGCCGCGGCUAACUACGUGCCAGCAGCCGCGGUAAUACGUAGGGGGCAAGCGUUAGCCGGAUUUACUGGGUGUAAAGGGGGCGCAGACGGCGAUGCAAGCCAGGAGUGAAAGCCCGGGGCCCAACCCCGGGACUGCGCGGGGAACUGCGUGGCUGGAGUGCAGGAGGGGCAGGCGGAAGUCUGGGUGUAGCGGUGAAAUGCAUAGAGAUCAGGAGGAACACCG